rnacentral:rRNA from 1 species
GAUGAACGCUGGCGGCGUGCUUAACACAUGCAAGUCGAACGGAACGCCAAGGAAAGAGUUUUCGGACAAUGGAAUUGGUUGUUUAGUGGCGGACGGGUGAGUAACGCGUGAGUAACCUGCCUUGGAGUGGGGAAUAACACAGUGAAAACUGUGCUAAUACCGCAUGACAUAUUGGUGUCGCAUGGCGCUGAUAUCAAAGAUUUAUCGCUCUGAGAUGGACUCGCGUCUGAUUAGAUAGUUGGUGGGGUAACGGCUCACCAAGGCGACGAUCAGUAGCCGGACUGAGAGGUUGAACGGCCACAUUGGGACUGAGAUACGGCCCAG